rnacentral:rRNA from 1 species
AGUUCGGAUUGGAGUCUGCAACCCGACUCCAUGAAGCUGGAUUCGCUAGUAAUCGCGCAUCAGCCACGGCGCGGUGAAUACGUUCCCGGGCCUUGUACACACCGCCCGUCAAGCCAUGGAAGCCGGGAGUGCCUGAAGUGUGCAACCGCAAGGAGCGCCCUAAGGUAAAACCGGUGACUGGGGCUAAGUCGUAACAAGGUAUC